UUAGCUAUAAGGAUGGAUAUUAGAGGAUAUAUUAGUCACCCGGCGGGACUCAGCAGUGAAGAAUCUGCCUGCCAAGAAAGAGAGGCAGGUUCAAUCCCUGGGUCGGGAAGGUCCUGUAGAGAAGGAAAUGGCACCCACUCCAGUAUUCUUGCCUGAGAAAUCCUACGGACAGAGGAGCCUGGAGGACUAUAGUCUAUGGGGUCGCAAACGAGUUGGACAUGGCUUAGAAACUAAACAAAAGCUAAACAACAAUAGUUUCCUAGUUUCCUAGCUGUAACACACUACCGCAACUGCAUAGCUUAGUACAACAGGGAUUUAUUGUCUCACAGUCUGGAGGCCAGAAGUCUGAUAUCAAGGCGUCAGCAAGACCUCAGUCCCUCUGAAGAUGCUGUUUCAGGCUUCUCUUAGCUUCUGGUAGCCUCAGGGAUUUCUUGGCUUAUAGACAAUCAUCUUCUCCCUGCGUCUCUUCAUAUCAUCUUCCUUACGUCUUAUCUCUGGUCAAAAUUUACAUUAACGCCAGUUGUGUUGCCUUAGGGCUCACUCUAACCAUCUAGUUUCAACUAGAUUACCUCUACUAAGACUGCAUUUCCAUACAAGGUCACACUCUGAGGUGCUGGGUAGUAUGACUUCAACAUAUCUUUUUUGAAGGGGACACAAUUCAACCCAGAACAGAAGAAGGGAUAGCAGUCUCCGACGGAGACUUUAUCAGCAUCUUCUAAACCAAACUGAUGUCCUAUGACAUGUCCUUGGAAAGUCUGGGAGGAAAAAAGACAAAAGUUUGGGAAAGAGUGCACAUAAUACAUAGCUUCCUGAAGACCCAUCAGAUGCAUUUCCUAAGCACUGAGAAGUCUUAUUGAAAAACCUGUUUAACUCAAAACUUCCCAAAUUAUCUAUCAAACCCUACAGUUGCAGCUUUGGAAAGAAGUGAAUGACAGAUGAAAAGAAAAGCACAGAGCUGGAAACAUGAGAAAAUCGUUAAAUGAUGAUACAGGAUACAGAUUAGAGGAGUCCUUCCCUGCCGGCUCAGAAGGGAGACAUCACCAAUCAGUGCCACUGAGCCCAGACAUGGCCUUAGCAUCCUUCUCUGCUCAGCUCAUCAGGCAGCUCGUCACCAACAACGGAUCAGAAUAGCCAAUGGAACCCCCUUUGGCAGCUGUGUGUGAAAGAUUUACUCCCUCUCCAAGGCAGAGCCAACAAAGCCAUCUCUGGUUUGGAGAUCAGUUCUGCCUCCAUCUCCAUAACUUGGAAAGUCUGACACUUUCAUAGAAGAACUCGCUAAGGCUGUGACUCUGUGACAGCUAUUCGGGCUUUAGAAAAAUGUUGUACCUUACUGUGCCUAUGGUCUUCAGAUCUCAAGGACUUUUGUGCAAACAUUAACUCAUUUGUUUGAAAAGCUGUGGUGCUGUAAAGACUAAUGAGAUAAUGUUUAUGAAACACUCCUGUGUUCCCAUGAUGAAAGGCAGCAUGCUAUUCAUGUAAAAGAUUCAGAGGCCACUGAAAGCUUUCCCAGGAACUGGCAGGGUUUUUUUGCUUUGCUGUGAAUAUCGUUUAAGGCCAGGAGAGGGGCCACACCACUGUUCUUUGGAGAAGGCUCAGUGAUGUGGGAGGGAUAACAGCAAGAACAGCUUGGUAGAACCCCAGGCUUUGUCACCUUCUAGUUUUGU
rnacentral:lncRNA from 1 species